UUUAUUGUUUUACACCUGGAGUGAAAAAUAUACAAAAUAAAUUGGCAUUAUGUUUUUAUGUUGUGCUGUUACACCACUGUCUCAGAUUAUAGGAAGAUUAAGCGCUCACAAACAUGUUAAACCCAGUCAAAUAUUUUAUGUGCCUGUAGUAUAGUGGUUGUCGUUAAUUUAUGUCUUGAAUAUUUGUUGUUCAGAUUGUUUUGUUUUGAAGUUAUUUUUUAGUUGUAUAAUAAUUAUUUUAUAUGUUACAUGUCGUGACCUUUAAUUGCUCAAUGAUUCCUUGUUGAAGGACGUUAAGUUCCCUAUGGAUAUAAGAAAAUGUGGUUUGAGUGCCAAUGAGACAAUUCUUCAUCCAAGUCUCAGUUUAUAAAAGAAACCCACUAUAGGUCAAAAUACGGUCUUUAAUACGGAUCCGUGGCUCACACCGAACAACAAGCUGUAAAAGGUCCAUUAAAACGGACAACUAUUAGAGAAGCUAAAAAAUUGGACGUCGAUUAGAGGAGCCAAGGAGCCAAAAAUUGGACCUCAAUUAGAGGGUGAUUGAAUUGGCCGCCGAUUUGAAAUAUUAUUUUAUUGUGACGUCAGCUUUGGACCUCGAUUUGCGGAACAACCGUCGGAAAAAGACUGAUGGUAGAUAAACAGAGUGGUGAUAUGUGUACAGAGUGAUGAAAGAUAUACAAAGUGGUGGUAGAUACACAGAGUGGUGAAUUACAUAUAAAGAUUCCCUCAAAAGCAGAACACCAUAUCCUGAACACUUGAAAACCAUGACACCAUUCAAAGAACCAAUGAAAAAACAAAAGAAACAACCAGACCCUAGCAACUGCAAGCUACUCCAAAGAGAAACUAUGUUAGUAAUAGAUAAGAAACGCAGCGCUCUGACCUCAAUGUAUUUCUGAAAUGGUCAUUUGAUAUUUGCUUAGUCUUCAAAAAAAAAAUCAAGAUGAACAUUAAUGUUCAGCUAUGAAACUUUAAAUGCAGAUGACAAACUUUAAUUUAGUUUCAAGUACAAAUGUACUGUUAUUCUCCAAUUUGACAAUCAAGAUGUAUUGAAAACAGUAAAAUAUUUAGGGAAGUUGUUAAAUUACAAAACUGAAAUUUCAGUUUUAUCAUUUAAACAAGUGUAUCACCAAAAACUGCAUGAAUUGUUUUGAAAAUUUCAACCACCCGAAAGCACUAACAAUGCAAACAAGACAAUGUUUAAAAAUGUUUUAUAAAUAUCUGUUGAUCAUUUGAUCCAAGGACCUUAAACUGUUUUACAACAUAAUAAACCUCAUCCUAAGUUAUUUCAACUAUCACCCUUUCUGCAUUGAUCAAUUUGAUAAAGAAAUUAAAUAAAUGGGCGUUCCACUCUGGGUUAAUCUCCAACCUCUUUUUUAGCUUCAAAUGUUGUUGCAUAUAUAAGUAUGGAGAUUUGUCACAUUGGCACUCAUACCAC